rnacentral:rRNA from 1 species
UACGUAGGGUGCGAGCGUUGUCCGGAAUUAUUGGGCGUAAAGGGCUCGUAGGCGGUUUGUCGCGUCGGGAGUGAAAUCCACUGGCUUAACUGGUGGCUUGCUUUCGAUACGGGCAGACUGGAGGUAUGCAGGGGAGAACGGAAUUCCUGGUGUAGCGGUGAAAUGCGUAGAUAUCAAGAGGAACACCAGUGGCGAAGGCGAGUCCCUGGACGAUACCUGACACUGAGGCACGAAAGCCGGGGGAGCAAACAGG